GAGGCCUGCAGCAAGCGGCUCAGCCUCUGAAAGUGGCGCUCGGUGUAAGGCAGCAGGGACUCCACAGCAGAUUUAAUGCCCGAGUACUGCAGGAGGUUGUCUGGUGCUUCGUGCUUCAGGAGGGUUUCAAUGACAGCUUGAGCUUCGUGGCAGUUUCGAGAGUUCGUAUUCCAUGUCACCAAGAAUGUUAACACCGCCUCUUUCUGAUCCUUCCGCAACCGAGCAAUGUUCUCUUCCAAGCGCUUUCUCCCAUCGCUUUCCUUGAGGAUGGCUUUAAUGACCGUCAACACUGUGUGCGGACGAUCCAGAGAGAUUGCCAGCCCUAAUGCUUUGAGGUAUCGUUUCUCAUGGAGCAGGUUAGAAAGCUCUUGUUCUUUCAUAAUCUGCUCCUCCCGUUUAGCUUGUGCCUCUUCCUGUUCAAUUUCAGUGACAUCCUUCCAUAGUGUGAUGGAGGAGUCGCUGGAUGCUGUCACAACCAUGUCGUCCUGCUUGUUGGUGUGAAGACCCCAAAUUUUAUCUUCAUGGCCAUCUAAUGUUUUCACACACUCAUUCGUUUUAAUUGUCCAGAGUUUUAAGAGACCAUCAGAACCACCACUGAGCAGCUGUGUUCC
rnacentral:lncRNA from 1 species